rnacentral:rRNA from 1 species
AGGAUAAACGCUGGCGGCGUGCCUAACACAUGCAAGUCGAACGCUCUCAGCAAUGAGAGAGUGGCGGACGGGUGAGUAACACGUGGGCAAUCUGCCCUAAGGUGAGGAAUACCGGCGAGAAAUUGUCGACAAUACCGCAUAUGUUCCGCAAGGAACAAAGUUCGCAAGAACGCCUUGGGAUGAGCCUGCGCUCGAUUAGUUAGUUGGUGGGGUAAUGGCCUACCAAGACAUCGAUCGAUAGCUGGUCUGAGAGGACGAUCAGCCACACUGGGAUUGAGAACGGCCCAGACUCCUACGGGGGGCAGCAGUGAGGAAUUUUCGUCAAUGGGGGCAACCCUGAACGAGCAACGCCGCGUGCAGGAAGAAGGUUUUCGGAUCGUAAACUGCGUUUUCUCUGGGACGAGAACGGACGGUACCAGAGGAAUCAGCCUCGGCUAACUACGUGCCAGCAGCCGC